UUUUAAUAGGAGACUAUGGCUCCUCUUUCUACUCUGUCGACUUAGAUGCUUGUGAAAAGUAAGCAGCGGUAGAACUCGAUCUUCUGCCGUUGAAGCCGCUGGAGUCUUCUCGCGAUGGAGCCAAAGUUGGGGUUUCUUGCAACGGCCUGCUCUGUGUCUAUAACUCUGUGAAGGACGUAUUCCUCUGGAAUCCUUCAACCAGAAGACAUCGGAAGCUACCCGUUUCACCUAUUGAGUCUCCACGCAUAUACGGCAACUCCAAUAUUUUUGGAUUGGGUUACGAUCCACCUCCGACGAUUACAAACUGGUAAGGAUUGCGUAGUUUUCUGUGUAUCCUCGUGACCAUGUACCUUCGGAGGUGAAGGUCUACUCACUUAGCAGCAACUCAUGGAGAAAGAUCCGUUACAUGACCGAGCCCUUCAAAAUCAACCCCUUUUACGGAUUUGGGGUUUUUGCAAAUUCUGCUCUUCAUUGGGUUGGAUUUCGAGAGACGCAACCUGGUCACUAUUCCAGCAGUUUUUUUGUUUCCAUUGACCUUCAAGAUGAGUAUCGAGAGCUGCCACUGCCUGACUCUUUGUUCACCUUGUUGACUUAUGUUGGUGUUCGUGGAGGACAAGACUUUGUGCUCUGUAACUUUGGUGGUCGUAUGGAGGUUUGGGUGAUGAAGGAUUAUGGCAUGAGGGACUCUUGGGUGAAAGAAUUCUCUAUCGAACAAUAGGUGAUAAGGGACUUUUGUGUGAACUACUUAAUCAUUCCUACAGUGGUAUUUUGAUGACAUCACACUGGGUCGAACUCGUAAUGUAAUCAAUCAAGUUUCAAGCUGCUUGCAUUCGAACUGAAGGAAAAGUAGGGUGAAGUCAUGAACUUACCCUUGCAUGUCUAUUGCAAAAUGCUAGUUUCUUACAAAAAGUUUGUCUUUCCUUUUUUAGCGCUAAUGAGAUUAGUUGAUGUAAAAGGGGUAUGUAAUUUACUUGUCAAUUGUAAUUACUUAAUAUCAGUCCUUCAGAAUCAAAGUUAAAUUACUUGGAUAAGAGUGAGGUAGUGACCUGCAUAUAUUACUUUCAAUUUAAUUAGUCUGUUGGAAGGGCUUUUGGAAAUGAUGCUUAUUUCCCUUGUUAGAAGAUACAUUAUAAGAACUGCUUGUUGAAAAUAGUGAUAUAUGUAUAUCAUUAUAUACUGAAUUGGUGAUUUGUGGUGGGGAGUAGACAGGAAGGCUUACUGCUUUUAGGCUGAUUGAAUUUAUUUUUCCUGUAACUGGAAUGGACUGCAAAAGAAGAGAAUUUGUGAUUCCAAAGAUGAAGCAGUUUGGAGUAGGCUUAUUUUAAGUUUUGGGUGCUGUCAUAUACUCUUUUGUAAUGGAAAUUUAUUGUCACUGUUCUUGUAAAUGCUUUUUUCAAUAGAAUUUGUUGUUAAACUACAUAACAUUAAAUUUCCUAUGUGCCUCAUGCUGUUGGUUACGUUCUCCUCUGCUUAGGGUAUUGGUAUGUCUGAGUUAACGUCUUAUUAUUAACAGAGAUGAGGUGCAAAUACCGAAAGUGAAUCUUCUUGUCAUAUUAGCCAACUGAUGAUGUUUUCACUUUAAUUCUCUUACACACAUUUGAUGUCUGACUGCUGGUUCUUGUUCAUUCCUGGGCUAUUGUUGGACAUGUGGAGCUCAUUGGAUACGUUGGAUGAGUUUAAGUUCUUUUGAGGGGGAGAAAGUUGAACAGGAAAACUUAAAAUAGGGUUGACGUUGUGAUUGGGAGGUUAGCAAUUAACUAGUUGAGAAUGGGGAAACAAAUGACAAGGCAAUCAAGGCGUUGGCUUACAUAGUAUAUCUCUUGGUAUCCCUUCUUUUGGAGUUCAUAAUCUGUUGACUGUACUAGGAAAUUUCUGAUAAUGGUUCUCUUAUGUUUAUGGUUUGGAACAUAUUACAGCUUCCUGACUUCAGCCUUUUUGUUAAAGACCUUAAAAAUAUCAGUACCACAGUGGUGGGGGCCCUAUCUUUUAUAGCUAUCUGUACUCUCUCCUUUAGAUUUUUUUUUUUUAAUUAUUAUUAUUUUUUAAUAUUGUCACUA